GCUGGUUAUAUUAGCGGGUUUAUGAUCAUGUAAAUUGACCAAAAUGCCCUCUAUCCUACCAGUAGCAUAUGCUUUUUGUUGUUUUCUUUCCCUCCGUUGUUCAUAAGCCAGAGAGCUCGGCUCAGUCAGUCACCAACACCUUUCGAAAAUGGCGACCAUGCCGAGCCAUGGUCUCAGGCAUCUAAGCACGGGGCAACCAUCGCUUCGAAAGUUCCGUUUCUCAACCACUGUGGCUUCUGUUGCUUCCUCUUUCACUGAAGACUCGGAGCAAGCCCAGCCAAACACCAACAACAGAGCAGAUAUUAAUAAUAAUAAUAACAAUAAGCCAAGCUCGUAUUUUCCGAAGCGUGGCCAAUCGUUGGAACUGGUAUGCGAGUCCUUGGCUUUCAAGGGCAAAGGUCUGUGCAAGGUGGCAGACACUGGGUUCGUUGUCAUGUGCGACCGUGCACUCCCCGGUGAACGCUUCAUUGGGCGUGUCACUCGCAAGAAGGGAAACUAUGCUGAGGUGACUAAGGUAAAGACAAUAUCUCCUCAUUGGGACUUUGUGGAUGCCCCUUGUGAGUAUGCUUCUUACUGUGGAGGGUGUAAAACACAAAAUUUGUCUUAUGAGGCACAGCUCAGAGCCAAGGAACAACAAGUUCGUGAUUUAGUCAUACAUGUUGGAAAGUUUUGUCAUACAGACCUCGAAUCUCUAGGCAUCAUGAAACCCAUUGUUCCCUGUGAUAUUCAGUUCCAUUACAGGAAUAAGAUGGAGUUCUCUUUUGGUUCUCAACAAUGGUUACCUAAAGAAUUAAUAACAGAGAAAAAUGAUGGAAAUAAGAAUUAUGCAUUGGGACUGCAUGCUCCUGGAUUUUUUGAUAAGAUUCUAAAUGUUGACAAGUGCUUAUUGCAAAGUGAGCCAGCCAAUACGGUUCUUGCAGCUAUCCAAGAUUGUUGGAGAGAUGAACAAUUAGGUCUCUCUCCUUACAAUGCACGCUCUCAUGCGGGAUUUCUUAAGCAUCUAAUGCUAAGGACCGGGAGAAACCUGAAGACUGGUCUUCCUGAACUCAUGGUUAAUUUUGUAACUUCAUCUUAUGAACCAGAGCUUCUGAAGCCUCUAGUUGAGAGAAUUAAAGUGAUCCCUGAAGUGGUAAGCAUCGUGAAUAAUGUAAAUACUUCUGUUGGAAACACAUCAGUUGGGGAGCAGGAAUACACUUUGCAUGGAAAAUCUAACAUCGUGGAGAUCUUAAGAGGGCUUACAUUUCAAAUAUCAGCGAACUCUUUCUUCCAGACAAAUACUUACCAGGCAGAGGUUUUAUAUAAACUUAUAGAAGAGUGUGCUGGUCUCAAAGGAGAUGGCUCAGAGAUCGUUCUUGACCUAUUUUGUGGGACUGGCACCAUUGGUCUGACACUUGCCAGAAGGGUCAAACAUAUUUAUGGAUAUGAAGUAGUAGCUCAAGCAAUCUCAGAUGCUCGUCUGAAUGCAAAUCUGAAUGGCAUCCAUAAUGCCACAUUUAUUCAAGGGGAUCUUAAUAAAAUUGAUGAAAGUUUUGGAAACAAUUUCCCUAAACCAGAUAUUGUAAUUUCAGAUCCAAACCGUCCAGGAAUGCAUAUGAAGCUGAUUAAAUUUCUUCUAAAGCUAAAGCCACAACGCAUAGUUUAUGUAUCAUGUAAUCCUGCCACAUGCGCACGUGACCUUGAUUACCUCUGUCAUGGAGUGUUUCAUGCAGAUGGAGCAAAAUAUUAAAGGGUGUUACGACCUAAAGAGUUUACAGCCAGUGGACAUGUUCCCGCACACUCCUCAUAUUGAGUGUGUUUGCCUGUUGGAGCUUUCUGACCAUUCCAGUUAGAUUCAAGCAUCAGGUUAUGUGAAGCUUGCAAGUUGGAAGGGAACUAUGGUCAAUGGGGUCCGGAAGGAGCAAUCAGAAGCUGUUUUAAACUUGUAGCAUUGAGGAAAAGGAAAAAUGAAAAGAUUUCAGGUAUACGUAGAAUUCAAUCCCAUCUAUGGAUGUGUGAGGGUUUUCCAAUAAAUUGUCAUCUAGGAAAUGGGUUUGUUAUUUAUCAACCCACAUUGAAUUAGCCAAGAUAGAGAGAAAUAUGAAACGAGAGGUUCUAUUGCUAAGUUUGGCCAAGUGGAAUCCUUAGCACUAUAGCCUUGUAAAAUAUUGGCUCAACAAUGUGACAAAGUGUAGAAGAUUUGAGGAGGUGGAGGACCAUGGGAUUCUCCAGUGCAAUACUUUGUUAGGUGCUUUUCCAACAUUUUUUUUUUCCUGAAAAAUCUAAAAUAAAAAUAUAAGUUGAGAUUAAUAAA